rnacentral:rRNA from 1 species
AUUGAACGCUGGCGGCAGGCCUAACACAUGCAAGUCGAACGGUAACAGGAAGAAGCUUGCUUCUUUGCUGACGAGUGGCGGACGGGUGAGUAAUGUCUGGGAAACUGCCUGAUGGAGGGGGAUAACUACUGGAAACGGUAGCUAAUACCGCAUAACGUCGCAAGACCAAAGAGGGGGACCUUCGGGCCUCUUGCCAUCGGAUGUGCCCAGAUGGGAUUAGCUAGUAGGUGGGGUAACGGCUCACCUAGGCGACGAUCCCUAGCUGGUCUGAGAGGAUGACCAGCCACACUGGAACUGAGACACGGUCCAGACUCCUACGGGAGGCAGCAGGGGGGAAUAUUGCACAAUGGGCGCAAGCCUGAUGCAGCCAUGCCGCGUGUAUGAAGAAGGCCUUCGGGUUGUAAAGUACUUUCAGCGGGGAGGAAGGGAGUAAAGUUAAUACCUUUGCUCAUUGACGUUACCCGCAGAAGAAGCACCGGCUAACUCCGUG